rnacentral:rRNA from 1 species
ACUAAGUGAGCUACUUUAAAAUAGCCCUAGAGCUAACCCGUCUCUGUUGCAAUAGAGUGGGACAAUUUUUAAGUAGAGGUGAUAAGCCUAUCGAACUUAGAGAUAGCUGGUUUUUUAAGAAAAGAAUUUUAGUUCAGCCCUAAGUUUUCUGUUACACAAAAACAAAACUAGACUUAGGAGUUAUUCAAAUAAGGCACAGCUUAUUUGAAAUAGGAUACAACCCAGAAAAAAGGGUAAGAACAAUUAAAAUUUUUAAUAAGUGGGCCUAAAAGCAGCCACCUUUAAAAAAGCGUCAAAGCUUAAUAUCAACAAUUUUCUAAUACCAUUAUUAACUUCUAACCCUUGCUUAAUAUUAAAAAACCCCAUAAUACUAUGGAAGCUAUUAUGCUAGAACAAGUAACAAGAAAAAGACUUUCUCCAAAACGUAAGCUUAAGCCAUAAUAGACAAACUAAUGGCAAUUAACGUUUAUAGAUUUUUGUAGUAACACUGACA